UACGUAGGGUGCAAGCGUUGUCCGGAAUUAUUGGGCGUAAAGAGCUCGUAGGCGGUUUGUCGCGUCUGCUGUGAAAAUCCAGGGCUUAACCCUGGACCUGCAGUGGGUACGGGCAGACUCGAGUGCGGUAGGGGAGAUCGGAAUUCCUGGUGUAGCGGUGAAAUGCGUAGAUAUCUGGAGGAACACCGGUGGCGAAGGCGACAUCCUGGACCGGUAUUGACGCUGAGAUACGAAAGCGUGGGGAGCAAACAGG
rnacentral:rRNA from 1 species